CACAUUUUGGGGUCAAAGGUCACAUAUAUGGGCUCAGAGGACACAGAUUUGGGGUCAAAGGUCGCCGUUUGGGGUCAAAGGUCACGAUUGGGGGUCAACGGUCGCUAUUUUGGGGUCAAAGGGCACACAUAUGGGGUCAAAGGUCACUUUUGGGGGUCAAAGGUCGCGAAUGGGGGUCAAAGGUCACAUAUGUGGGCUCAGGGGACACAGAUUUGGGGUCAAAGGUCAUAUUUUGGGGUCAAAGGUCACAUUUUGGGGUCAAAGGGCACCGAUAUGGGGUCAAAGGUCACAUAUAUGGGGUCAGAGGUGGACAUGUGGGGUCAAAGGUCGCAUAUUUGGGGUCAAAGGGCACACAUAUGGGGUCAAAGGUCCCCAUUUGGGGUCAAAGGUCACAUAUAUGGGGUCAGAGGUGGACAUGUGGGGUCAAAGGUCGCAUAUUUGGGGUCAAAGGGCACACAUAUGGGGUCAAAGGUCACAUUUGGGGGUCAAAGGGCACCGAUA
ensembl:lncRNA